rnacentral:rRNA from 1 species
AUUGAACGCUGGCGGCAGGCCUAACACAUGCAAGUCGAGCGAGCGGCGGACGGGUGAGUAAUGUCUGGGAAACUGCCUGAUGGAGGGGGAUAACUACUGGAAACGGUAGCUAAUACCGCAUACCAUCAGAUGUGCCCAGAUGUGAUUAGCUAGUAGGUGGGGUAAUGGCUCACCUAGGCGACGAGCCCUAGCUGGUCUGAGAGGAUGACAAGCCACACUGGAACUGGGACACGGUCAAGAAUCCGACGGGAGGCAGCAGUGUGGAAUAUUGCACAAUGGGGGCAAGCCUGAUGCAGCCAUGCCGCGUGUAUGAAGAAGGCCUGCGGGUUGUAGAGUACUUUCAGCGGGGAGGCGUUACCCGCAGAAGAAGCACCGGCUAACUCCGUGCCAGCAGCCGCGGUAAUAC